CUAUGUGAAAAAGAAAAAAAAUAUAUAAUAUAACAAGGUAUUACAUAGAUAGAGGAUUAAAAAUAUCAAAGGUAAAAUAGGCAUUACAUUGCAUAGGAAUAAUGUCUAUUAUUUAUAAUUGAGGUUGGAAAUUGGGAGGGGAAAUGAAUAGAUUGAUUAGGGAGCAUCCCUGACAUAAAAAAUGCCAUCGGUGAUUGGGCGACUCGGCUCCCGUCCAAUAGUCCAUCGGUCCAUUUCGUCCGGUGGGCUCUUCAAUUUAAUACACGUGUCCCUUUAGCGUUGUCAUGAUUAAUUACUUAACCCUGGUCAAAUCUUCUUCAAUCUCCCCUCUGUAGUAUCAGACAAGAACCCCUGCAAAAAUUGCAAGUAAUCUAACAACUAACCAAAACAAAAGUGGCGUCUUCCUGGAAUUGCUUGGUGAAAUUAGCUGUUCGUUGGAGGGCCGUCGGUAUGGAAGAAUGGAGGUCGAACUGUCCUGAGGUUGCCAUUGACAGUAGGAACUGAGGAGGACCUUGCAAAUUCAUUUAGUUGGUUAUUGGCAUCAAAAUGAGUUGCUUCAAUUGAUAAAUUUGUGCUCAUUGGCUCAUAGCUUUCGGCUCACUAGUUCUUGCACUUGUGCCACGUUUGAUGAAGCCCUGUGGAUAUCCUGCCGGUUCAAUGUGAAGUGUGAAUUCCCCUGGAGUUGGAUCAUUGUCAUUCUUCCAUGCAGAAAGGUAAAUCUCAUGGUCAGUUUUUAAAUUCUUGCC